UGGAACUUUGUAAACAACCCUUACACGUUGUUUUAAAGCUGAUCUUAUGUAUUUACUCCACAAACGACUCCGCGGGGCCGCAGCAAAGUGAGUCUAAGGCCAAAAUCAGGUCUCUGCUCAACUGAGCGGACUUUGUCUCCCAACUGCCCCCUACAUCAGUCUCUAUUUGGAGUUAGGAAUCAUCUGGAAUCCCCUUUUGAUAAGGGGCAAGAGAUAUUGCAAGCCCAGGACACAGGCAGGAAGCUUGGCUAAAGCAAGGAAUGGGAUCCUUUCAGUGGGUUAUGCUCUGGAGUUAGCCUCAGGAGGUGAUCUCAGAAAUCGACAUCAGCACUUGUCAAAUGCAGCUUUGAAAAUGAGAACACUAAGCAAAAUCUGCAAGGGCCUUCCUUCCUUCCUUCCUCCUGACACAGAGGCCUGGGGGAGUUGCAGGGGAGUCAGGAUGGCCGGAUGUUCCCUGAUCAGACAGACAUACAGACUGACAAGGAGCAGACAUGCAGACAGGAGGAUGCUGCUGCUACUGUGGACUUUGGGCUCGGUUUUGUUCCCAUCCGGAGCUAUAAUGAGAAUGACAUCAUUCCUGUUUUGAUAGAACAACAGGAAGAUCGAGGAAGAUGGAGAACAGCAGGGUGUGCGGGUGAGAGUAUGAAGGAGUAUGAGAAAACAAAAGGAAACAUAAGUGUUGGUCAUAGAGAAGGCAGAGCUAUGAUCAUGCCAGUGGAGAUAUACUGUAUUUGACCAUAGGCAUGCAAGAGGCUUUGAUGUGCCCCACGGAAUUAUUUAUUUUCAGAUACAUACUGUACAUAAU